rnacentral:rRNA from 1 species
GAUGAACGCUGGCGGCGUGCCUAAUACAUGCAAGUCGAGCGAACGGACGAGAAGCUUGCUUCUCUGAUGUUAGCGGCGGACGGGUGAGUAACACGUGGAUAACCUACCUAUAAGACUGGGAUACCUUCGGGAAACCGGAGCUAAUACCGGAUGAUAUUUUGAACCGCAUGGUUCAAAAGUGAAAGACGGUCUUGCUGUCACUUAUAGAUGGAUCCGCGCUGCAUUAGCUAGUUGGUAAGGUAACGGCUUACCAAGGCAACGAUGCAUAGCCGACCUGAGAGGGUGGUCGGCCACACUGGAACUGAGACACGGUCCAGACUCCUACGGGAGGCAGCAGUAGGGAAUCUUCCGCGAUGGGCGAAAGCCUGACGGAGCAACGCCGCGUGAGUGAUGAAGGUCUUCGGAUCGUAGAACUCUGUUAUUAGUGAAGAACAUAUGUGUAAGUAACUGUGCACAUCUUGACGGUACCGAAUCAGAAAGCCACGGCUAACUACGUG